rnacentral:rRNA from 1 species
AGUGAACGCUGGCGGUAGGCCUAACACAUGCCAGUCGAACGGCAGCACAGUAAGAGCUUGCUCUUACGGGUGGCGAGUGGCGGACGGGUGAGGAAUACAUCGGAAUCUACUUUUUCGUGGGGGAUAACGUAGGGAAACUUACGCUAAUACCGCAUACGACCUACGGGUGAAAGCAGGGGAUCUUCGGACCUUGCGCGAUUGAAUGAGCCGAUGUCGGAUUAGCUAGUUGGCGGGGUAAAGGCCCACCAAGGCGACGAUCCGUAGCUGGUCUGAGAGGAUGAUAAGCCACACUGGAACUGAGACACGGUCCAGACUCCUACGGGAGGCAGCAGUGGGGAAUAUUGGACGAUGGGCGCAAGCCUGAUCCAGCCAUACCGCGUGGGUGAAGAAGGCCUUCGGGUUGUAAAGCCCUUUUGUUGGGAAAGAAAAGCAGCAGGUUAAUACCCCGCUGUUCUGACGGUACCCAAAGAAUAAGCACCGGCUAACUUCGUG